AUCCCCUAGAGGAGCCCAUUCACUAUUCUCUCCCCUGGACAAGCAGCUAUAGAGAUGGCUAACUUAACAUUGAAGCUAGCUUUUUUGCUUGCUCUCUUGUUCAUUGCUUCUUAUGUGCACGUGGAAGCUGGUGAACUCGGAGCUGGUGAAAAACUUGAGCCUGCAAUUUCAUUUGAUUGUAGCCAAGAUAAAGAUUGUGAUGGUAAAUGCGGUGACUUUUGUGAAAAUAAAGAUUGCAAAUGUCAAUAUCUUCAUUGUGGUUGUGUAUUAAAGCCGACCAACAAUUAGUAAAAUGUAACCACUUUCCUGAAAUUAAUCUGAUUAGUUUCCAGGGAAAUUAAUAAAAUAAAGACUUUAAAUUUGUCUUUUCUUU